rnacentral:rRNA from 1 species
UGAGGAAUAUUGGUCAAUGGACGCAAGUCUGAACCAGCCAAGUAGCGUGCAGGAUGACGGCCCUAUGGGUUGUAAACUGCUUUUAUAUGGGGAUAAAGUGGGGAACGUGUUCCCUUUUGCAGGUACCAUAUGAAUAAGGACCGGCUAAUUCCGUGCCAGCAGCCGCGGUAAUACGGAAGGUUCGGGCGUUAUCCGGAUUUAUUGGGUUUAAAGGGAGCGUAGGCUGGAGAUUAAGUGUGUUGUGAAAUGUAGACGCUCAACGUCUGAAUUGCAGCGCAUACUGGUUUCCUUGAGUACGCACAACGUUGGCGGAAUUCGUCGUGUAGCGGUGAAAUGCUUAGAUAUGACGAAGAACUCCGAUUGCGAAGGCAGCUGACGGGAGCGCAACUGACGCUUAAGCUCGAAGGUGCGGGUAUCAAACAGG